rnacentral:rRNA from 1 species
CAGCCGCCGCGGUAAUACGUAGGGUGCAAGCGUUAAUCGGAAUUACUGGGCGUAAAGCGUGCGCAGGCGGUUAUAUAAGACAGAUGUGAAAUCCCCGGGCUCAACCUGGGAACUGCAUUUGUGACUGUAUAGCUAGAGUACGGCAGAGGGGGAUGGAAUUCCGCGUGUAGCAGUGAAAUGCGUAGAUAUGCGGAGGAACACCGAUGGCGAAGGCAAUCCCCUGGGCCUGUACUGACGCUCAUGCACGAAAGCGUGGGGGGCAAACAGGAUUAGAUACCCGCGUAGUCCCUGUCUCUUAUAC